rnacentral:rRNA from 1 species
CCUACGGGAGGCAGCAGUGAGGAAUAUUGGUCAAUGGACGAGAGUCUGAACCAGCCAAGUAGCGUGAAGGAUGACUGCCCUAUGGGUUGUAAACUUCUUUUAUAUGGGAAUAAAAUGUUCCACGUGUGGGAUUUUGUAUGUACCAUAUGAAUAAGGAUCGGCUAACUCCGUGCCAGCAGCCGCGGUAAUACGGAGGAUCCGAGCGUUAUCCGGAUUUAUUGGGUUUAAAGGGAGCGUAGGUGGAUUGUUAAGUCAGUUGUGAAAGUUUGCGGCUCAACCGUAAAAUGGCAGUUGAAACUGGCAGUCUUGAGUACAGUAGAGGUGGGCGGAAUGCGUGGUGUAGCGGUGAAAUGCUUAGAUAUCACGAAGAACUCCGAUUGCGAAGGCAGUUCACUGGACUGCAACUGACACUGAGGCUCGAAAGUGUGGGUAUCAAACAGGAUUAGAUACCCUUGUAGUC